CCACUGUGCAGCUGGGGUCGGCUGCCAACCAAUGGUUCCCAAGGGCCAUCGUGGUGCUGACACAACAGGUACUGUGCUGCAGCUGUAAACGUGAGGACAGAUUUGGGGAAAUUACCCUAUUUUCUCCCCUCCCUGCAACACUGAAGACACUUUUGUUUUCCCAAGCUAUGACCCCAGCCCUGCACUUGUGCUGCCUCUGGGAAAUGCAAUGUUAGGAGUUGCCAUCAAUAUUUCAAGGUAGUGUCUUUUUCUGGACAAGACACAAGAAGGACAACUGGUAGAAACCUUGUGGGUACCCAGCAAUGGAUGUAGGCUUCCUGACCUCAAGGCAAAGGUUUUAUUCCUUUUGAAGAAAAUGUGGUGAUCCGUUUAAUUUUUUUUUUUCCCUGCAAAACAGCUGCUUUGAAACUCGGUGAUCUGAUGAGAUGAAGGUCACUGAAAUUUCCUUCCUUUUCCCUCUGCUUUGGAAAUGACUUCUGUCUUAAGGCCCUGGAGGGUGAAGCUCUUCUAACUCAAGACAAAGGUUCUUCACAUGAGAGAUUAAUCCGUUUCCCCGUAAUUAAAUAAACAACACUCUCUACGUGGCUAUAUAGAAUAAACUAAAAUGAAGAAAGAACAUGUUGUGGAAAAUAUGGAGAAGUACAACUAGAGAAGUGCAACGUACUUCAGCAGAAUCCAGGUAAUAUAUUUUAAGAAACUGUUUCUAGCAGAGAAAAUAACUGCUAAAAGCAGGUGUUUAUUCUGAAAGCUGCAGCAAUAUUUUUCUGUCAUGUCACAUUAAAUCACUCAGGUUGCAUCAUGUUGUGCUCCACUACAUCAUGUUAGUAUAUAUGGCGGAGAAGGCAAAAUGCAGUAACAGGAUGUGACAGACAACACUUAGCAAAAAUAUUCACUUAUUUGACUCAGAUACUUGCUAUCAGUUUGAAUUGGGAUACAUGGUACCAAGCAAAGCUGACAGAUAGAAGCAAACUCAGCAAGGAACUCACCCCACGUAGAUCCAAAAGCUUCUUGUCUCAUACCCAGUACUCGCUCUCCUAGUG
rnacentral:lncRNA from 1 species